rnacentral:sRNA from 1 species
CGUUGCCGGGCUACGGGAGAGCGCGGAGCCCUGCGCGGGGAGGUGCACGGCGUGCACGCUGGACUGGACCCCCGUGCAACCCCGCGCCCUGCGCCUUAACCAGGACCGCGCCGCGCGCCCCUGAGCCUCGGGCUCCGGCCCGGACCUGCAGCCUCCCAGGUGGCUGGGAAGUGAUUCUUGUCUGUAUUAGAGCACUACCUUCAAGAAAUGGGGUUCUGACCUGGAUUUGUUCUACCACAGUGACUUGCAUUUCAACCUCAGAACUCUCCAACAAUAAAUACAUUUGAUAAGAAAGAUGGCUUUAAAAGUGCUACUAGAACAAGAGAAAACGUUUUUCACUCUUUUAGUAUUACUAGGCUAUUUGUCAUGUAAAGUGACUUGUGAAACAGGAGACUGUAGACAGCAAGAAUUCAGGGAUCGGUCUGGAAAUUGUGUUCCCUGCAACCAGUGUGGGCCAGGCAUGGAGUUGUCUAAGUGGCAUCUGGAACACCAGCGAGACAGAACCAUUCACUCCCCUGGAAAGGGGGAUGAAGCCAGGGAGACAAAUGGUCUAGCUCAGCAGAUCCAACUCCCAUGGAGCCCAGCAAGCUAAGAUCCACUGGCUUGAAAUUCUCACUGCCAGCACAGCAGUGUGAAGUCCACCUGGGACACUCAAGCAUG